UUAAAUUAGAGUUUGAUCCUAGCUCAGGGUGAACGCUGGCGGCGUGGAUGAGGCAUGCAAGUCGAAUGGGUUUAGACCCAUGGCAGACGAGGUAGGAACACGUAGGUACGUACCCCAAAGUCAGGGAUAACCUGGAGAAAUCCAGAAUAAUACUUGAUAGUCUCUUCGGAGUAAAGAUUUAUCGCUUUGGGAACGGCCUGUGGGCUAUCAGCUAGUUGGUACGGUAACGGCGUACCAAGGCUACGACGGCUAGGGGAGGUGAGAGCCUGACCCCCACCGAUGGAACUG
rnacentral:rRNA from 1 species